rnacentral:ncRNA from 2 species
GUCGUUCGACAGGGGUGCUCCGUAUGGCCGGGGCUGAGAGGACGGCGCAAAGCCAUCUAACCCUAAAGCUGAUCUGGAUAAUACCAGCGGAGCGAGGCGAAGAUGAAGUGCG